ACCUUUUGAUCAAAAAAAUUUUUAAUUUUUAUUCCAAGUAGAACAUUUUUUCAUUGAAAGAAAAAGUACCACUAAUGGAGGUUAAAAUUGCGAGUAAAUAGCAGUGUUUUUCUUGAUCGUUUUUGAGUAUGAUGAGGUGGCUUACAAAAGGUAAGUUUUGAGUAGACCUAGCAACUAAUAUUUUUAAAGGGUUUUAAUUGCUGCAUUUCGUUAUACAGAUGUGUUUUAAACAUAAUUAUUAAGAUGAUCGUAUAAAUAAAUACAAUUUUUUUAAAA